rnacentral:lncRNA from 1 species
CAUGGCUUAUGCUGCUCUUUCCUCUCUGCAGGUGCGUGUGUGUGUGUCUGUGUAUAUAUAUGUCUGUAUGUAAUGUAUGUAUAUCUAAUAAUGGUGGUGUGUUUGUGUGUGCACGGUGCAGGUGGGCUGCAGCAAAGGAUUCUCAGAGUUUAGCGGGCUUCGCAGCUCGUCUUCUGCUCUUCCAUUCGGCAAGAGAGCCAACAGCAAUGCAGACUUCGUUUCUUUUGUUUCUUUCCAAACCUCUCUUGUAAGUCUUCAUAUAUAUAUAUACAUGUGUGUGUGUGUGUGUGUGUGUGUGUGUGUGUGUGUCAAGAAUGUUUAUUUAUAUAUGCUCUAUCUCUGUAUGUAUAGGUUGGGGGAGAGAAGAACCAGAAGGUAGUGGUGGAGGCGAAGCUCAAAGUGGCGAUCAACGGAUUCGGGAGAAUCGGGAGGAACUUCUUGAGGUGCUGGCACGGUAGGAAGGACUCCCCACUCGACGUGAUCGCCAUCAACGACACCGGCGGCGUCAAGCAAGCGGCCCACCUCCUUAAAUACGACUCCACCCUCGGCAUCUUCGACGCCGUCGUCAAACCCGUCGGCACCGACGCCAUCUCCGUCGACGGCAAGAUCAUCCAAGUCGUCUCCGACCGCAACCCCUCCAACCUCCCUUGGGGGUAAAAAAAAAAAUUAGAAGAGAGCUAUCUAUGCACAUUGCAUUAUAUAGUAACUUAAUUGUGUUUUACGAUAUUUUUUUUUUACGAUUUUGAAGGGAUAUGGGGAUUGAUCUUGUGAUCGAGGGUACCGGAGUGUUUGUGGAUAGAGACGGAGCCGGGAAGCAUAUUCAAGCCGGGGCGAAGAAGGUGCUCAUCACCGCUCCCGGCAAGGGCGACAUCCCCACGUACGUCGUCGGUGUCAACGCCGAUGCUUACACACACGCCGACGACAUCAUUAGCAACGCCUCCUGCACCACCAACUGUCUUGCCCCUUUCGUCAAAGUCCUCGACCAAAAAUUCGGUAUAAUUUGUUACUGAAAUGUUAAAUGUCGUUUUGAUUUUACUAGUAGUGUUUUGACUUUGAAUGUGUUCUGAUUUUGGCAAAAUUCAAAACACAUAAAUUGUAGUUCUUCGAGUUAGCUUUUCUAAUCCAACUUGAAUCAGCUAGACUGGAUAUCGGGUGAAACAAUUAUGCUUGAAUGAGUUACAUUGUGAAUUUUAGAUAAUUCAGAACAUUAAGUUGUUGACAGUGUUCAGUGAUUCAUGCAUGUGUUUCUCACACGACAUUCAGCCCUAGUGAUUCAAGUUGGAUUAAAAGGUUAAAAGUGAAAGAACUACGAAUUGCGUGUUUUGAGUCUUGCCGAAUUCAGACACGAAAAUGGUCAAAAUCAUCUUUGAAAUUGAAAUGGUAUAUUGAAACUCAAACGUCAUUUAUCAAAUCCCUAUUACUUAUUUUUCGAGUAGUAUAGUAUCGCGGGAUGAGACUAAUACAUUGAAUGUAUGUAUAUAUAUAGGGAUCAUUAAGGGAACCAUGACUACCACGCACUCGUACACCGGAGACCAGAGGCUCCUGGACGCCAGCCACCGCGACCUGAGGCGUGCUCGGGCGGCGGCACUCAACAUCGUGCCCACAUCGACCGGCGCGGCCAAGGCGGUAGCGCUCGUCCUCCCCCAGCUCAAGGGUAAGCUCAACGGUAUCGCUCUGCGUGUGCCCACGCCCAACGUCUCGGUGGUCGACCUCGUCGUCCAGGUCGAGAAGAAGACGUUCGCCGAGGAGGUGAACGCCGCCUUCAGGGAGGCGGCAGACAACGAGCUCAGCGGGAUCUUGGCCGUGUGCGACGAGCCCCUCGUGUCAGUGGACUUCAGGUGCAGCGACGUCUCGUCGACCGUCGACUCGUCGUUGACCAUGGUCAUGGGCGACGACAUGGUGAAGGUCAUCGCUUGGUACGACAACGAGUGGGGUUACUCACAGAGGGUUGUUGAUCUUGCUGACAUUGUUGCUAACAACUGGAAGUGAUGAGACCCAACUCCCUUUUUUUCUCCUCUCUCUCUCUCUUUCUCUAUAUAUGUUGCUUACUAUAUUGUGUUUGUAGAUUCUUCUUUCCUUUGGGAAUUAUUGCAAUGAGAAAGCAAACAUUUUUUUCCAAGAUUUGUUUUAUUAAAUAAUCAAGAGGGUUGUUGUUAAUAAGAGCUUUUUGUUGAGCCAACCAAAUUUUCAAUCCUGCAACAUGUGUUUUGUUUUGACUAGGGUUGCAAGGGAUGUUUCGUAUCGACCUAGGUUUCGAAUUUCACGAAAUAACAUCAAUAGACUAAAAAUGGUCCUCACACAUUUAAAGAUCUAUAGAUACGUAUCGUAAUUGCGGUUGUAUAGAAGAUGAAGCCUCGUCUUGGGAAAGGGCGAAUACAUAACUUCGUAAGCCUUGCGAUAGUUUUUGAGUUCUUGACAGUAAGCUUCUAAUAGCUAUCUUCAUACCAAAUUAUGGCUACAAUGUUGUACUAAUAAGUUAAGCAUUACGAACGAAGAAAAAUGAGAGAAAUAAUAGUAAUUUUAAGUUUCGUACGGGAUCACAUACAGUCCAUAGAUGAAUUCAGAAACGAUCUGCCUCCGACCUUUCAAUCCACCCUGCACAAGGAAAAUAGGAUGAAAACAUGAACUAAUGAGCAACAUUAAUUUUCGGAGAAAAUGAAAGAGAACGUCUCAGACAAAUACUAAUGUUGUAAUAAUCGAGAGAAAUCCAAUCCCGUUGCAGUUUUAUCCAAGAAAUCAUAUGCAACAAGCGAACUAAAAAUAGUUGACUAGUUCUAGCAAAUAGCAGACAACUCUCAAGUGACAUUAUUUGUGAUCAUUAUGCGUAAAACUAAUAUGUGUGAUGGAAUGCAUACAAUUAAGAAACAAACAUUUAAAUUUCAAUAACAACGGCCUUUGGCAGAAGCCUUUAACAUGUACAAUUUAGUUAUGAUUCGACGAUUUUCAAAAAUGUGAGGGACCAAAAAAUCCGUACAGAAUGUACAUAUCCUUUUCAGAAACCACUACAUAACUUCCAAGAAACUUUUGUGAGUUAUGCGCCGAUUUUAGCCGAAAGAAAGUCCAUUUCAGGUAAAAUUGAUGAUAUCUUUACACUUUAAUUUGAGCCAAGUGCUUCAUCGCAUAGGACAUAAGAAACCAUGUAAGGUAGCAAUAAACGAAAAAUCACAAAAUUAAGAGAAAACGAAACAGGACAGGAGAAAAUCGGCAUAGAAAAUCUGGUUCAAGUCAACGAGCAUAAAACUCCACUUAACCAAUUAUAUACUAUGAAGGCUUCGUUUGGAAAUGAUACAACAUGUCGAUUCAACAGAACUGUGAACUAUUCCCACUCUUUAUCUUUCAUGGAUAAGUUUCAGAACAAGAGAAAAUCAAGAAAGUAAACAAACGAGCAGAAGAAGAGUAAUGAAACAGCAAAAGGGAAAGAGAAAAAAAAUAUGAAUCACAGCAUAAUAAUCAACUUAUUGAACUAUAAGAGAAGUUAAAGAGAUGCUGCGUACCAUUUGAUAAUCGAGCCAAACAGAAAAUGCUGCAUGAUAGGAACCUUCUCCAUAACUUCUACUCUAUACAUUUUCAAUAGCCCACUGUUCACCUUAUUCCAAUUCGGAACACCGCUGAUGUCAUCCAACAUAGGCGAAUGCUCAGCAAACAAACCCUUCUUCACCUUCUUCACGAAAGCAAUACACGUGAGAUACAAAUAUUCGUUUGAGAAAUUCUCCAAAAUAUCCUCAUUAUGAAUGGAUUUCGGCUUCAUAUACUUGUGGUCGAUCAAUUGCGACGACCCGAAUACGUACGGCAAGAAAUGGUAGUCGUCGAGUCCCCACACACCGUGGGACCCUGCGGGCUCCAAGGAGUAAGUUAGCUGUAAUUUUCUCAUCAAGUCUAAGUACUUGACAAACACUCUUGACACCAAGGCUUGGUAAUCCUCUUCUCUCACAAUAUCCAAUCUUGCUAGGCAAUACAACCACGCCGCAAAAUUCGUCUCGUGCCCUGUACCUAUACGAUGAGGGGAACCGAAAGAAAAAGAUCAUUGAAUUGAUUUUUUAUGUUAUCUCGCCUUUUCCAACAGUCAACUAGAGAAAAAUAGCAUCAACAUCGGCAAAAAUACAACAAAAAACAGCGAUGUAUUAAAUCAAUACAUCACAUAGUGAUUUGAAAUGAGACGAAUGAAAAUGUAAGAUGUACGACUUGAACAAAAAUAAUGACUCGGUGCCGGAUAAGGGAUCAAGCUACAAAUGCUAACAUGCCGUUUACCAGCUAAACGAUUUAACCUUUCAUAUUUUUAUAAAAUCCUUCUGUUUUCUUUCAUCUAUCGAUUCAGUUAUUUCGUCAGAAAUCACGGGGAUGGUGUGCCAAAAUCUCAUUAAACAAGUCGAUUUAUUGAUUCAGUUAUUCAAACAAGCCUGUGAUUUCUAGUGCCGAUUUCCAUAAACGCCUCUCGUUUUCUGGUGUAAUCACCGCAUACACGUAAUUUGCCACAGUUCUUUAUGCACAUCAAUCUUCAUAGGUAAUAUGCUACUCAAAAAACAGUCACCCAAUACAUAAUAUAAACACCACCGCAUACUAAAAAAAAAACGAGAAAUAAAUAGUGUUUGUGUACCGUAAUCAAUGCGGGAGGAAUUCCCAAAGCUAUCAGUGAAAUAGGGCACAAGCUCCACGGCGGCGUCACGGAGAUGCGGCGGCAGCAGCAUCAGCAUAAACCCCUCGGCAUCGGCGCUCAUGCGCUCGUGCCACACGCGGUACGAAACGUUGCCGUACCGAGCGGACUGCGGCGCCGGAGGAAUUUCGUCAACGCAGUCAACCAGCUUCUGGAGAAUCGACAGUAGGGUUUCGGCCGCGGGGGACAUGUGGCAGGGGUACGAGAUCUUGCGCGAUUUCAUGGAUUCCGAUAAGGAGACGACGAAGCCGAGGAAGUUGCGGAAGGAAGGGGAGGAGUGGAACCGUGCGACGUCGUCUUGGGACCGGAUUUUUUUGCAAGGGGCGGUGAAUUGGUGCGGCGGAGUGAUGAGUUCAACUUUCUCCGAUUGGGGUACGGGCGUUCGGAUAAUCGUCUCCUUGAUGUUGGCUGGUGGCGUGGGGAGGUUCACGGCGGGGAAGCGGAUUGGGAUGUAGGAUGGGGUGGAUGAGGGCGGCGGUGGAGUUGGGGAACACGUCGGGCCGCCGCACUUUGCGCAGGAUGACGGCGGAGGUGGGAAUUGCGGCGAGUGAUCUUCGAGGCAGCGGCGGCGGUGGUCGUCGUCUUGCGGUGGUUCCAUUUUUUUUUCUCUCUCUAGAUUGGGAGUGCAAAAUUGAAUUGCAGAAGACGGACUGUGAUUUACGAACUCUGCCUAUUACAAGGAGACGACACGUGUCCAUUUAAUAUACUGGUGCUAUUUAUUGGGGUAAUUUGUGAAAAGGCCCUUACAACUAUUUUUAUUAUAGUUAAGUGCAUCGUUUUAUUUUGUUUACAUUUUUGUCGCGGAAAAGUUUAUCGCAUUCUCAAACAUUCAAGUUUGUAGGGCGUGCGUGGGAGAUUUAGCUCAAAUAGAAAUAUAAAACUGAGAACUUUAAUCGAAUUCGAAAUAAGUGCAUUUUCUUAUAACUCCGAUAUAUCCAUCGCUUUGAUUGGGAUUUUUCAUCCUUUUUAUUUGAUUCUAAAGAAAAUUUUCGAUUGGGAUAAGAUUAUGUCGAUUUUAAUAGUCUAAUAUAUACAUUGGCCUUGUGUAAUAAUUAUUUUUGUAAUUCAUAAAAAGAAAAUUCUAAUAUACUGCUAACUCUAUUACAAUUUUUCAAAAUUUUCAGUUUCAUUUUUUUUUCUUCAAAUUGUCAUGGUCAGUUUCUCACAGCCUGUUACGCAGCCAAACACAUUCUUUGUAUCUGCAAAAAAUCACGAUAAUUUGCUUAUAAUAUGAAAUAUUUUAAUACGUGAUCGAUUAAGAGAAGUAAAAUUAUAUGAAUCGAGCGAAAUUAAAAAAACAAAGAGAGAGUGAAGUUAUACCAUUGCCAAAUUUUGCGCAUUUGUUAAUUGCACACCCAAGAUUUUGAUAGUACAUUUUUUGUGACACACUCUCAUUAAAAAGAUAGCACUUAACCAAACAUUGCAAUGCACAUGGAAUUACGGAUUCGAAUAUCACGCACAAAACUAUGCACUCCGCGUAGCAAAUCGGAAAAGGGGUUGCCGAUACGCUUCCUGUAAAUAUUAGGGUCAAAAGUAUAAAUAUCACAAGUAUUGGGGCACUAUCAUGCUUCAUGGGUGUAUGUAAACUCUCUAUCACUCUUAUUUUUUUCGUUAUUCAACUUUCCUCCCCUUUGUUUAUUGUUAACAUUCCACAAAAUGGUAGCUUUUUAUAGCUCAUUCAAAUUAUGUAAUUAUGUAAAUAGAUUUAGUGAAAAUUUUCCAAGUAAAUAUUUGGGUAUGUUGAUGGGAUAAGAAGAAUAGUUAACACUCAAUAAUAUGGAAAAGUCAAGGUAAUCAUACUUUUCUAAUAUAUGUUAAAUGAAUCUUAUAAAAAAUAUGUAUAUUUAAUGACAUAUCAAAUUAUAUUCCCAAUGCAAUUUGUAUUUUAAAUCCUAGUAUAUUUUUUUUAUUUAAAAUAAUAACUUAAGAUAUAAUUAAAUUAUACAACUAAAAAUAUCUGUUGAAACAUGCAAUAUCUAAAAAUUUAAAAAUAUUAUCUUGUACUGUUGGAUACACAUUUAAUAAAUAACAUCCAAUUGUAAUUAUUAUUGUUGGAUGCAUAUUUAAUAAAUAACAUCUAAUUGUUAUUGGACCAAUUAAUCCGAAUAUAUUCAUAUUGAUAAAUUUUAAGAAAUCAAUACAUAUAUAAUAGUUUUCUUAAGUAUUUAAAUUUAUUUUAGUUCAUUAAUUUCUUAAAAUACAUUUUCAUUUAUUAUAAUAUAUAUAUAUAUAUAUAUAUAUAUAUAUAUAUAUAUAUAUAUAUAUAUAUAUAUAUAUAUAUAUAUAUGUGUGUGUGUGUGUGUGUGUGUGUGUAUUUUUAUUAGAUUGUUAUGUAUGUUAUGUUUUAAUUUUUAAAUAUAAAAUAUUUGAUGCUGAGGGGGUAAGUGUUACAAAUGAUACUUUAAGGGGGUAAGUGUUACAUAGGCUAUACUUCAGGGGUGCAAAGUGUAUUUAGCCCUAAAAUAAAGGUAAAUUACGGGUCACCCCUCAGUUAUGAUUAAGUUACGAAAACCCCCAUUCUGUUGGGGUAAUUAUAGUCACCCACCUCAACUAUGUAUAAUCUUACGAAAAUACCCCAUUAUGUAAAUUUAGGGAUGUUAAAUUGGAAAACCGAACCGAAAUUUCGAUACACCAACAUUCAUACCGUUUACCGAACUAAAUAUACAAUGUGAUUCGAUAAAUAUCCGAAUUACAUAAAUUUUAUGUAAAAAUAUUUAAAAGGAGGGGUGACUGUAAUCAAACAAACAAGAGGGGUUUUUUCAUAAUUUGGCCAUACUUUAGGGGUGCCCGUAAUUUGCCCUAAAAUAAAUUAGAUAAAAAAAAAAAAAAAAAAAAAGAAUAGAAUAAAACAAACUGCCCUCACGCAGGAUCGAACUGCGGACCUUCAGUUUACAAGACUGACGCUCUACCACUGAGCUAUAAGGGCAAGUCGUUGAUGUUACUUUCAAACUUUUGUUACUAUAGUAAUAUACAUUAAUAUUAUUUUAUAUUUCAAUUAAUUCACCAGAACGAAAAUAAUAUAAAUAAUAAAUCAGUAGCUGAGCGAAAGGGAAAACCGAUCGAGGAGGAGAAAAUCUGCAGAGAGCAAAAAUGGCGGCGUCACCUCGAAUAGAGAUAGAGAAGCUGAGCGUAGAGCAGCUAAAGGGGCUGAAAGAACAAGCCGAUAUGGAAGUCAAUUUGUUUCAGGACAGCCUCAACAACAUCCGCACCGCCACCGUCCGCCUCGAGCUCGCCUCCACCGCCCUCCACGACCUCUCCCUCCGCCCCCAAGGUCAAUUCCACCAGCUACCCAUUCUAUUCUGAAUUUUUUUUUCAAUUUUUCAAUUUUUCAAAUUUUUAAAAAAAUUAGGGAGGAAAAUGCUUGUGCCCUUAACGGCGUCGCUUUACGUGCCUGGGGUUCUAGAUGAUUCAGAGAAGGUCCUGGUUGAUGUAGGCACUGGUUAUUUUAUUGAGGUUGGUUUGUUUUGUUCUCGUCCUUUAACUUGAAUUAAAUCAAGAUCCCCUUUUUUUUCUGUUUUUUUUUUUUAAUAAUUUUUUGUAUUCUAAUUGAACUUUGAGUUACUGCUUGGAUUGGUUAUAGAUACAAAUACAAUUUCUGUACGUAUUUUGGGAUAUAUGCAAAUUUAAUUUUGAGUCAAUGUUUAGAAAUUUAUAAUCACUAAGAUUCGAAUCCCUUUCGUAUGUGUUUCUUUAACAACGAUAUAAAUUUUUUUAAGACUACGUAUUGGAAAACAAAUAUACAUUAGUGGGAGUAAUAAACAUUUUCCGGUUCUCGUUUAAGGUUUUUUUUCUUCUCCAUUACUGUUAUAGUUUUGAAAGUUGCUUACUCCAAGUUCUACUAGGUUUUUCUUGAUGCACUUAAUGUCGGCAUUUGUAGUCGUAUCCAACUUGAACCAUGAUUUUUGCCGAGUGCGUAGGGAGGUUAUCGAUCAAGUUUGUUACAGAUUCUUGGCAAUGUAAGAGAACUGCUGUCAAGAUCUUUAUUAACUCGACUAGUUAAAAUAUAUAUUUGAUUUUUCACGUAUACGGAAAACUUUUCUAGCAUGCGAGUAGAACAACUUUACUAGCAUAUGUUCGCGUUCAUGAUUGAUUGAUUUUUCCGAUUAUUGUAACAAAACGUUGUCUCAUUUGUUAAGCUUAAUUUUGUAUGUAGUAGGAGGGUAAUUGAUGACAGAGUUAUACAUUAAGAGAUCAAACAACGUAAUUUUGAGCUUUGUCCAAAACAAUAUCUUUCAAACAACUAGGAUAUAAUAGAAUGUUUUGAAUGUCGAAGGGGGUAUUUCGAUGUCUUAACGCUACGCCAGGGGCCCAAACUGUGUUGUUUUGACCCCCUGCAAUUUGUGGAUUCACAUCCCUGAAAUAAUUUUACUUCGAGAGUGUUUCCUUCAAUUUUUUGCAAGCUGAUGCUACGUUUCGUCCGCCAAUAAAAUUAUGUUUGAAGACUUAAUUUAACUCCUUAUCUUUGAUCUGGGCAGAAAACGAUGGUGGAAGGUAAAGAUUAUUGUGAGCGCAAAAUUUCUCUGCUCAAGUCCAAUUACGACCAACUUCUCGAGGUAUGUUUUCGUAAUAUCUCGUUCACCUUUUCAGAUUUUAUAAAACUUAUGUUUUCACAAACCUUAUUCUGAUGUAACUCGGGUGAAUAAUAUAUCGAAUUUACCCAUGAGGUUCUGUGGUGAAUACAGUUAAACUUCUUCUGUAAAUAGAUCGAUAUGUACUGUGCAGUCUCACAUAUACAUUCCUACCAAAACAAUCUUGUAUUCCUGCAGAGUAUUUCAAAAUAUCUUAAUUAAUAAUGCUAGUGUAGUUUCAAUUUCUAAUUACCUUCCAACUAUUCGCUAACUAGGAUUGUCUGAAAAAGAUGCUUCUACAGUAGAACCUCGAUAAAUUAAUAAUCUCGUUUAAAUAAUAUGUUUUCCCGGACCCGACUCGAAGGCAACAUGUUAAAAAAUAUUUCGCUAAAUUAAUAGAAUUUGGCUGGUCCCGACUCCCAACUGUAUUAAUUUAUAGAGGUUUAACUGUAAUUUGCUCAGUGAUCGAUUGGCAACAAAGAUUAUCUGAAGAAAAUUCAUUUGAUGAAAAUUGCAGGUGGCGACGAAAAAGAAAAGUAUAGCAGACGAGGCUGGGGCAGUUUUACAAGCAAAAUUGAAGCAGAUGGCUCCUGCACAGUAGUUUUAGUAAGGUAUAUGAUUUUCAAGUCCAAUUGUUUGAAAUGGUCCUGUAAUCAAUCUCUAAUCAAUCUCUGCACACAUGGAUUGAUUUUUUUUGAUGUUUUAGCCAGUGCGAGUGAGAUUCAACAUAUUCUGCAGAGACGAGCUUUCUUCUCCGUUUCCUUUUUCCCUAUGUUUUGUAUGCAAUUUCGGUAUUUUCAUGUGAAAAAAAAAUGCUCGAUUAGGGGAGCUUCUUUCUUUCAAUGUGGUAUUUGGUAUAUUGAAAUUGAACACUUGUAACAUUCACCAUCUUAAAAUGCCCGACGACCAUCAUUGAGUGACAGACGAUUCACUAAAGUAUAAUAGUUAUUCAUCAAUAUAUUAAAGUCUCGAACAUAACAUAGGGAAGCGCAUAUAUUUUCGACUUGACAAUUCACCAAAGUAUAAUAGGUAUUCAUCAAUAUAUUAAAGUCUCGAAAAUAACAUAGGGAAGCGCAUAUAUUUUCGACUUGAAAACACCAUGUUUUUCCAAACUGAAAUGAUUUGUGCAGGCACAAAUUAAACAUUAAGGCACAUUUUUUACCAUUUCUCAAAAAACAAAAGGUAAAAAACUCAAAAACUCUCUCUACCCUUUCGAUUUUCUUUCGCAAAGUCCGUGCAAAUCGUCAACAGAUCGGAGGUAAUUUUUACGUUUUUACGAUCCUCUUGUUAUGUAGAUUACGAAUCCGAAAAAAAAAACGAAAAAAAUCGGACUUUGGCCUGCUCGUGUGAAUUUACGCACAUGAAUAAAAAAAAGUCCGAUUUUGUGCAUAUGAAUAGUACAAAAGGUAAAUAGUUAUGGUAAAAAGGUAAAAACUCAUGGUAAAAAAGUGCCUGAAUGUUUAAUUUGGCCUGCGUAUAUCAUUACCUUUUCCAAAAUGUUUACUUUGGCAAUAUUAAUAUUUUUAUAUUAUGUAUUUUUAUAUAUAUACGUACAUAUAUCAUAGGUGAGAAUCAAAAUAUAUCAAAAAACUACUAACUCUUGAAAAACAAACCCAAGUCUAUAUUAGCUCAAAUGGCCAACACAGCUGCAGAAUUCGAAUGUGACUGGUUUUUUUAAGCAACUAAAAAGCGAAAAAAAUGUAGCAAAAUGCCAUCCAAAACCAAAAUCUGUACUAUAAUUUUGAUAUGAUUACACAGACCAACUAUACAAAAAAGAAAAAUAUCGAAACAGACUUUUCGCUCAAAAGCUUAAAACGACGGUUAUGAUUUUCUCAUGCAAGUAAACCCUGUAUAUGUCCUUGGUUACAAGCAUUCCUCCAUUGCGCCGAUGUAACUGUUCCACAAGGCAAAAGCUUCGGGAAAAAAAAAACAAAAAACAAAAAAAAUGAAAAAAAUUAGUAUCCAGACAUUAUAUAACCACAUACCAAAAUAGUGUCUUUGCUCCAACACAAUUUCAAGGAAAUAAUAAGAAUGCAAUAAGAAAAACCAACGAGACUUGAAUAAAUCCUAGAGUUUAACGAGCAGUCCUAAAGGCGUAAACCUAUCAAAUAACUGCAACGAUAUAGUCAUGUAUCUGCAACGAUAUAGUCAUGUAUGGUGAUAAAUCCCCAGCAUCCCAUACCAAUAAUCUCAAUAUAACUUUCUAUUUAAAUCUCAACUUCGACGUACUGAGAUCAAUAAAUUAUCUGCAAUUGAUGAUGGGCUAAACUUUGACACGUGUAUUUAAGUGUUGCAACUUCGUUCUUUAAAUAUAAAGAACAAGUUAACCUGUGUCUUCGCGUCUUGUUAUUUGGCCAUCAAUUUUAUUUGCUCCAACAUUCGUUUGAUAUUUUCAAAUAACUUUCUGGAUUCUGUUUGUUGUAUACAAGUCACUGUAACAACCUCCAAUGGGAAGAGUAAGUAUGGGCUAAGCUAUUAAGGUUACCACAAAGAUUAACUCGAAAGUUGCUAUUAUGCAAGUUAAAAAGUAAAAAAAGACGAGCCAAACAGUAGUGUUUGGUUCAGCCUAAUGCACAAACCACAUAAUAUGACAGGAAUUCUACGGCAUCAGUACCAAAAAAGAAGUCCAAGUUGAAGUUUUACAGCAGAGCAACUCUUUAACAGAGCAACUUCAAUUUCCCCACGAGGCUUUUUACUAAAAUUUUAUUAAUUUAUCUGCUAUGCAGAGUUUCAACUGUUUCCUUCGGCGCCAAAUAAGCACUUCUUCAUACAACAUGAAAAUUUUCUUUUUUUCAGGGGUAAAAUGUUCGAAUUUUUUUGGCAAAAAUGGUCGAGCUCCAAGAAUUCUCAAAAUUUAAUGUGCACAAAAAUGUUCACAUAAGGAAUGAAUAUGAAACGACGGACAUGUCCAAGAAAUAGGUUUGAAAAUGGGCCGAUAAAAGAUAUGAAACAAAGAACAUCGGAAAUGAAGGUUGUUAUAGCUUUUCUUGUGAUAGAGGGCGAUAAUGUAUGAAGGAAAUUUCUGGAAACCUACGCCAGAAAAGAAAAAGAAAUUCUUCCCUGUUUACGAGCUUAAAGUUCUGCUACCAUGAUAUUCCGAGAAGAGAAUUUUUAAUUACAUAAACAACUACAAGAAUAAUAGGAGAAGAAUGGGAAACUAAUAACAUCACAAUCCCAGGAAGUCAACAAUAUGAACCCGUAAUAUGUACAAUCAAAUACUUCCAAAAUUAAUUCCCCCUUUUUUCCAGGAAGUACAUCACUGAUGAUUUUGUCGAGGGAUACAUAAAUCCACGUACGAAGAAAAACUUAGCAGGAAACUAGUGAAAAACCUACUUCAUGCUUCUAGGGAUUGAAUCAUUAUACAAAGAUAAUGACUGAGAUACAGCCAAAAACAAAAAAUCUGCAGGAACUUGAUCAAACAGCCGUUAUAACAAGAUAGUCGAAGCAUUAAAAGUUUAAGGCUCAUUCACAAUAAAUUUACGCUCUGAAGAAACUAAAAGAUGGCAUCACAGUCAUUUCAGAAAGUUUUGCAUACCAAAAGAUCAAAUCACUUUAGAGACAAUCAAAACAUUCCGUUUGAGAUAAUACAUUGGACAAAACAGAAAGGAAAGGGGCAGUCAUAAUUAAUAUUCAUUAAUAUCACAUACCAAAUCAAAACGAGAAAUAGCGUAACUAACAUUUAAUCUAAUGCACAAGAAUCCCCAAUAGGUAAAGAAAAGGACAAAAACGAGAUUUUUUUCCGAGUGCGUACCUAAACACAUUUAGUGAUGUUCUCGAUAAUGGUGUUCUUCCCCCUCACCACCCGAAUCAGACCCUGAUCCAGAAGCAAACUCUCCAAACAGCCAAGGUAAUGAUAUGGUCAACCUCCUCUCCACCACCCUUUCCCCAUCUGAACCCUCCGCCUGACCACCAGCACCGCCAGCGCCAUUCCCUCGAGAAACUCCACCGCUGCCGGAAUUACCACCGCUUUCAUAAUCCGGAUCAUCGGUCGGAAGCUCAUAGCGGCACACGGGGCAAGAAUUAUGCAGCUCGAGCCAAGGCAUAAUGCAUUCUUCAUGAUAGACGUGCUUGCAAGGCAUCUGCUUCACCACAGUUCCCAUCUCAAAGUCAUCCUUACACACAGCGCACUGAGCCAAGUCGGAUUUCAUCAAAGCCUCGUCAACGGUAAUACUCGGCAGCGCCUCAACGGCAGACUUGGCGGCAGGAGGAGUACCGUACCGAUUCGGAUCAUUAUCAGCCAACUGCUCAAUCAACUGGUCGAAUCCGGGCCCCACAAAAUAGUCUCCAAUAUUCGCCGGCAGAGAAAAACCGGAAUCCGACGGGUUAUCCUCGAUCACAAACUGGUAGUCAAUUCCGCUGGCGCGGCUGUUGGCUAGAAAGUUCAAAAAGUACGACAUCGGGUCGAAAGCGUCGGCUCCGUGCGCAGACACCCCGGUCGGCGCCGUCCUCCGCGUAGGGUUAGGGUUGAGGUUUGCGGAGGCGGGGGGGAGGAAUUGGGAGAGGAGGAGGGAGAGCGGGUCGGGGUAGAAAGGGUCGGGUAUUCUAGGAUCAGGGCUAGGGUUUUGGAAUUCUUCGACGAAACCGGAGUUACAAGAGGGGCAGAGGAUUUCGCCACCCGGGGAGGGGGCAAUUGUGGCGGUGCGCUCGCAUUGAUGGCAGAAGUACAUCCGCCACCGUGACGCCGCCGCUGGAGGACAUUUUUUCGUUUAACAGCACAACUCUGUUUUUUUCUCUAAAGACGGAAAAUAAAAUAAUAUAUGAAGACUUUUGGCAAAGAGUUUAUUCUAAAUAUUUGGGUCAAACACCUAAUUUUCUUCUUAAGCCCAUUUGUGUUUAACAAUUGUAAUUAAUUAUCCCCAAAUCAUUUUUGCUUUUUAUUUAGAUUAACGAGUAAUAAAUUAGAUAACUCAAAAAAUAUUUAAAGACAAUUCCCAUUAUUUAUCUUCAAGGAAAAAGAAUUCUUAAAUUUUCAAUUUUCACCAAUCAAUUAUUUAAAAAAUAAAUUAUAUUAUCAAUCAUGGGAUAUGAUUAAAAAGAUAAUGACAUUUCGAUUUAUCUAGUACGAAAACUUCAAUUUCUUACUGUUUUCGUGUUUCAGACGCAUGUCGGACACAUUAUGGACCAUUUUGUAAUUUUUUAAAAAUUAGAAACAAGUUUGAACAUCAAAUUUCCAAAUACUGUUGUUGUUUCCAUAAUUAUUUACAUGAUUUAACUAUCAAUUGCAAAUUGAUAGUUGAUAAUAAUAUUUAUUUUGAUUAUAUUUAUCAAAAUAUAUAAAAAGAAUUUUACGUAUAAAUAAAAAUGUAUAUAUGUUUAUAUAGCAUGUUUAUAAAUAUACUCUAUAUUUAAUAUUUACACAUUUUUCUCAAGUUCUCGCAUCAUCAUUUUUUUAAAUAUUGUUUCCCGUGUCCGUUUUUCCAUAUCGUGUUCGUGUUCCACCUCUAUACAUUUCUAACAUUGCCGCUUUGAAAUAUUAUUUUUGUGCACGAUGCCACUGGAAAUUGGCUUUUGGGACAAAGUGCAACAAAAAAAAUAUUUCGAAGGGGGUUAUCCCUUUUUUGAAUGUUUAGAGGUGAAAGUGUGAAAAUAGAAAAUUUAUAGGGGUUGAAGUGCAUUUUCUCCCAUUUAAAAAAAAAAAAAAAAAAAAAAAUAGUUUGAUUUAUUGAAAAAUAAAUAUGGAAUAAUAAAAAAUAAAAAAAAUAUAUAUAUGAAAAAUAUUAGAUAAGUAGAAAAAUGAGCGUCGCCCAAUAGAGAGAGAGAGAGAAGAGCUCUAAGCAAACGACCACCUCUCCACUCUCUUCCACCACCAUGCGUAUCGCUUUCGCCCCCACCUCCUCCAAUCCGCUCCCUCCGGUUCGUGCAGUUACUUCCCCGCCGGCCAGUAUCAUCCACAAUGCUCUUACGUCCUAUUCACCUUCCUAUUCGAAAUUCAGUUUCCGCAAUAAGGUUUCCUUGCGUAGCCGGAGGAAUCCGCCGCCGCCGUCGUCUGUAACUCCGAUUAAGUGCGCCGGCGCAGUGCGGGAGGUCGACGAAAACCUAUUCCCCAACGUCGUUUUGAAGUCCGAAAUCCCCGUCCUCGUCGAGUUCGUCGCCACGUGGUGCGGCCCCUGCCGUUUAAUCGCUCCUGCGAUUCAAUCACUCGCUCAGGUGAGAUUCAGUAGCUGUAUGUAAUAUAUCCCUUUCAAUUAUUGGAAAUUGAAUCUCUGAAUUUUUAUUUUUUUUAUGAAAUUGAAAAGCUUUUUUUUUUGCUAUGAAUUAACUUCACCUAAACAAUGGUCAAUGGCUGAUUGAUUUCGUCUUAAUUUGAACUAGGUUUAGACAGAAGAUCAUCAUUGAGUUAAUAAUUAGGGAAAAUUAUAUGAAAAUUCCAUCACUAGAUUGCAUAAUUGGAGGUGGGAAGAGCCUUAGAUUUAUAUCUUCAGUUCAACUGAGUUGACUCAGUGAUUCAACUAAAUGCAAUCAAUUAACUCAAUUCGGAUGAAGAAAAGUUUUUGCAACUGCAUUUAGAGUUUAUGCCAGAAUGUGUGAUACGAAUUGGAGAAUAGAUUUGGAACGAAAUUAGUAUGUGUUAGAUGCUUAACAUUCAGAAUAACUCGCUCGAUUUUAAAGAAACUGAAUGCUUGUUCUCUUGUGAAUGCAACUUUCAGGAGUACGAAGAGAAACUAACGGUUGUGAAAGUCGAUCACGAUUCGAACCCGCGGCUGAUCGAGAAAUAUAAGGUAUACGGAUUGCCGAUGUUGAUUCUGUUCCAAAACGGGCAGGAAGUUCCAGGGAGCAGAAGGGAGGGUGCGAUAACCAAAGCUAAACUCAAAGAGUACGUAGACAAACUUCUCGAGUCCCUUUCAACUGUUUAACAUGAGAAAUAUUUCGCGGAAAGAAAAAAAAAAUCGAUCUUUUUCUAUACCUUAUUGCAGUUGAGAUCGUCUCGUCUUUAAAUUAGAUUCGGUUAUUUGUUCAUGUUGUAUAUUACCUGAGUUGUCGAUAAGUCCAAAGUCUGUAACUGCAAUAUUUGAUUGUAGUUGCCACUAUUUGCAGCUGUCUAUGGAAUAAUCGGUUUUCGCACUUCUACGUAAUUAUUAAUGUUUCGAAAUACGAAAUAUGAAUUCGAUUUAAAAAAAUAAAAAUGGUUCAUGACUUCAAUAAAUGUAUAUAUACUAUAUGAGAUGAUCAUACUCCAAUUGGAGUACAUAACAUUUCUUGUUCCUCAAGAUCUAUUCUAAACUUCAUCUCUUCGCCAAUUACAUUCAACAUCGAAUAAAUUUCUCGUGAUUGUAGAUGCGCCGUAUCGUGAGCAAUAAAUCUAUGAAGAUCUCCGAAAACCUCCACGUAGCUAUGCCCCGGAAACUUCCUCACUCCUCUCGACUCCAUCUUUUCUCUCGUGCUUCUUGCUUCGUCCCAUUUCCUUAUAACCGCAUAAACAUUCGAUAGUCCGAUAUAUCUACCAUCGUGAAAAGGAUCCAAUUCAAUUAGCUUCUUCCCCACUAUUUCCGCAAGAUCUAGCUUUCUAUGAUUUAUGCAUCCGUUAAACAAUGCACCCCACAUAGAAGGAGUGGGGUCCAUCGGCAUUUCUGACACAAACUUAUACGCUUCGGCUAAAUGACCCGCGCGUGCAAGAACAUCAACCAUGCAAGCGUAAUGCUCGUUUUUCGGAAGCAUCCCGUUUUUUGUGAUAGAUUUGAAAUGUUUCCAUGCAUCCUUCACAAGCCCUCCAUGUGCGCAAGCACUCAGCACACACAAGUAAGUGAUCUCAUCCGGUUUGAUCUUGAAAUCCUGCAUUUGAACGAAAACUUCUAGUGCUUUAGAGGUAAAUCCAUGGGUGGCGAGGCCACCAAUCAUAGCGUUCCACAUGAGCACGUCCGUUUUUCUCGUUGAUGCCUCACGGAAAACGAGCAAGGCCUCGUUAAUUGCACCGCAUUUUGCGUACAUAUCUACGAGGGAUGUUCUCAAUAUUAGGGUUAAAGGCAAUCCCUUUUCGACUAUGUAUCGGUGCAUUGACCUCCCUUGAUCGAGUGCACCCAAGUGCGCGCACGCACAUAGAGCGCUAACCAUGGUUACUUCGUUCGCCAUGGGACCCACAACUUUCAUUUUCGCGAAAACCUCCAAUGCCUCGGCGUGGUUCCCGUCCUUGACGUAACCAUCAACCAACGCGCUCCACGAGACGACAUCUCUCUCCGGCAUUACGUCGAACACUUCCCUCAUCAAAACCACGUCGCCGCAUAUGGCGUACCCAUCCAGCAUCGAAUUCCAAGAAACCAAAUUCCUCAUCGGCAUUUCGUCGAACACCUUCCUGGCGCAUCCAACAUCACCGGUGGAGCCGUACAUAUGGACCAAAGAAUUAGAAAUGAAAACGUCGGAAGCAAACCCAUUUCUCAACACCCGCCCGUGAACACACGCUCCCAGUUUCGGGUCCGAAAUUCGGGCCGAAGCCUUCACAACAAAAGGGUACGUGAGAUAGUCCGGUACGACACCGUUUAUCAACAUCUCCGCAAAUAUGCGUACGCAUUUAAUUGGGUUUCUGCUGUUCGAAAAGCCCCUAACGACGGCGUUGUAGUGGAAGAGCGUCGGGCUGGGGAGGCGGCGGAAGUGGCGGUGGGCGUAAUCGACGUCGGCGGAAGCAGAAGUUGCGGCGAAGGAGAUGAUUUUCCAGGCGAAUGGGUCGUUUCUCGACAGGCCUGAAGUUGUGAGGAGGCCAUGGAUUGCUUCAGCUGCGGGCACGAAUUGCAUUAUCGAGCAAGUUUUGAAGCAUUGGAUCAUUCGAAGGGGAGAGAAGGAGAAUUUGACAGGCCCGAACGAGGAAUUUUAUGAAUGGUUGGUCAAGUUGAAGCUUUGAAAGGUCAUUAAUUACAUUUUGAUCCUAAUCCUUAAUUUUGCUAACAAGUCCUUAUACAAUUUUAAUACUAAAUAUUUCCUACUUUUUAAGAUUUUUAGCACUUAACUUACCAUUUAUGCCCUAAAAAGUCCGGAAUGAAUACCUCGAACUUUACUUGAAAACUGCAGUCUAAUACAGAAGAAUCUUGAUAAAUUAAUACUCGAUUAAAUAAUAGUUUCUCUUUGUCCUGACUCGGUGAAAACGUGUUAAAUUAUUAACUCGAUAAUUUAAUAAUUCACUAAAUUAAUAGAAUUUCUCUAGUCUUGAUUAUAUUAAUUUAUAGAGGUUUCACUGUAUUAUGUUUCACUAAAGUAAUCGAACUAAGGUUUCGUCUAGUCGCCAUUAUUAAGUCGGUUUGCAGGUUUUGAACUAUCUUGAACCGGACGACUAAAUUCUACUAUUCGGUCAAAUUAGUAUUGGGUAGUUACCCUACAACACACUCAAUUCACCCGUAAUUUACUGGUUAAAAGAUUUUUUUUUUUUUUUGACUAAUUCAAGUCAUUACAAAGGGAAGUAGAGGAGGGGGACUCGAACCCUAGACAUUUUACCCUAUUGAUACCUCCAUCAAUCCUUGUCGGGGCAAGGGAUGAGGACCCUGGAGGCGAGGGAUUUCGCCUUUAGGUGCAAGUCUAGGUAUCAAUUCUCCUAAUGAAGGUUGGUCUGGUUAAAAGAAACUUAAAGUACAUAUUUGUAUUUUGAAAUGCUUGAAAUUUUAAAAUAAUAAAUAAAUAGGAAGAAAAUGGGAAAGUUACAGUUUUCAUCUCUUGAAUUUGCAUUAAUUUCACAUUUGGUCCUUAUGUUUAGGGUUGUUCAUGGGUCGGUUUUACCCGACAACCGACCCACUAUCAGCCCGACUUUUGUGGCCGAUAAUUGCCCACCAAUCGAUCCGCUCUGGUCGGGCCGAUAAUUUUAAGCGACCCGUUUAGUUGGGUCGGGUAUAGUUUCUAAUAUGAUGAAAAGUCGGUUGACCGAUAUUACCCGACCAACCGACUUUUUAUUUUUAUUGCUGUAUUUUUUAUUUUAUUUUUUGUAUUUUGUAUUGUUUUUUGAAUUUGAAGUUUGUAAUUUGAGAUACGUGUUGAAACUUGAUUUUGGGAUGUAGUUUUAUAAUUGUUAGGGGAUGAAUUUUAAUUAGGCUAAGCAAAAAAUCUGAUUUUCUUUUUUUUUUUUUUCUUUUUUUUUCUUUUUUUUUCUUUUUUUUUCUUUUUUUUUUUUUAAAUUUACUGUGGCCGAUAAUUUGGAACCGAACUAUUUCGGCAACCGUUACCCGACCCAUAAUAGUCGGGCCGAUAAUGGUUUUACAUUUUUGCAAUAGUCGGUUGGUCGGGUCGGGCCGAUAAUCGGCCGAUAUUCAACCGACCCGACCCAUGAACAACCCUACUUAUGUUCAUAAAUAAAAUAUUUGAUCCUUCAUGUUUCAAACAUUCAACAAUUUUAUUCAUUUCUGUUAAUUUUUCGUUAGAACCAACGGAAUCAAUCAUGUAUCAAUCACCGUCUUAACAUACAGACUAACGGUAAAUUAACGCGAAUGGCAAAAAAUGUUAAAUUAUUGAAACUUGUGGAGCUAAAUGUGUUUACUACGGAUAUGAAUGACCAGAUGUGAAAUCAAUGCAAACUUAAGAAUUGAAAACUUUUGAAAAUUGUAAUUUGGCCAGAAAAAAAUACAUUGAAUCAAAUAUAUGUAUAUCUUUUAAGUUUUUAUUUACAACAAAUGAAAAUUGACCAAAGCUUUACAUAAAAAUCCUAUCUCUUCCAUCAAGUUCUUUACACCCUAAACUAUAAUAUAUCAAUUAUUUGCAUUAUAAUACAUAUAUACACAUUCUUAUUCAUUCUCCUUCGAUGAAUAUAUAUAUAAGAAUCAAGCAUUGUUGUUAUGGUGGGGAUUGGCAAGACCAGGUGCAUCAUCAGGAAUAUAUUUACCCCAGAACCAAUGGCUCUUCCAUACUCUGUUCAUCUCUUCGAUCGGCACAUUCUUCGUUUCCGGUAUGAAAAAGUACACGAACACCGUCAUCACCAAAACCCAUCCCCCGAAGAAGAAGAACAGCCCGAACUUCAAAUGGCAUAGCAUCGAUAGGAACAAUUGCCCGAUGACGAAAGUGAAGAACAUGUUCACCGACACAUUCAUCGACUGUCCCGCAGAUCUCGUUUCCAACGGGUGGAUCUCACUCGGCACCAACCACCCUAGCGGCCCCCACGACCACGCGAACGCCGCCACGUAGAUGCAUAUCAAGGCCAAUGCCAAGUUCCCUUUCUCCUUGCUGAACGCGCCGUCUCCCGAGACUCCGAACACGGAUGCGAUCAAUGCUCCGGUGGCGAUCUGGCACACGAACAUCUGGAUCCACCCUCCAGGAACAGGGCGCGUCGGCCGAACUUGUCGACGGUGAACACGGAGACGACGGUGGCGAAGACGUUGACGAGCCCGGAGACUACGGCGGACAUGAGUGCGGCGUCGUCGCCAAACCCUAGGGUUUUGAAGAGGACCGGAGCGUAGAACAUGAUGACGUUGAUACCGGUGAGCUGCUGGAAGAAGGGGAUGAGAGCUGUGAUCACAAGCUGCGGCCUGUACCUCGGCUCCAUGAUCGUCUUCCAUGGAUUCUCCACCAGCUUCGAUACCUCGCUCGCCUCCACAAGGUCGUCGUACUCCGCGUCCACCUCCGUCGUCCCCCUUAUCUUCUGCAGCAUCUCACGCGCCUCCUCCUUCAUCCCUCUCUCGAUCAGCGAGUUCGGAGUGUCGGGGAGGAACAGAGCUCCGAUGGUCAUUAUCAGCGCCGGCACCGCGGCGAGGCCCAACGACACCCUCCACCCGUUCUCCUUCAUCUGCGCGGUCCCGUAGUUGACCAGGUUGGCGGCAAAGAUGCCGAUUGUGAUCGCCAUUUGGAACCCUAUGUUCAGAGCUCCCCUGAUCUUCGCCGGAGCCAUCUCCGAUAGGUAUACGGGGACCGACUGGUUGGCGUACCCGAUUCCAACACCGAGCAAUAUGCGGCCGAUGAUGAGCAUCCAUACGUUCAUCGCGGCCCCGUUGAGUAUUGCUCCAACCAGAAAGACCAGACCUCCGACGGUCAUGGAGGCUUUCCGGCCGAGCUUUCUGGUGGUGGCGGCGGAGAAGAAGGAGGCGACCAACGCCGCCAGGUAAAGGGAGGAGGUGAAGAGUGUCAAGAGAUGGUUCUCGAAUUUACAGUACUGACUCUCGUGGCCGAUUGGGUUCUUUUCCUUUGCGUAAACCGAUGGGAAGAAUUUCAUCAGAAACUCGUCCAUCGAUGUUACUCCUCCUGCAAAUUCAUCAAAUUAUCGUCCAAUAAAAUUAAACGACACUAGCUAGUAGCUAUAUAGGGGUGGGCAUUCGUAUCGGGGUUAUUCGGGUUUUGACCUGAAUCCGACCCGAAUAUCCCGAUCCGGAAAACCCGAUCCGAAUGCCCAGCCAGUAGCUAUAUCAAAUGAAUUUCAAAUUGUGACAUAUAUAUAAAAAAUACGAAAAUGAAAUAACAUCGAUCACGUACCUGAAAUACCAAUGUCGUACCCAAAAAUGAGUCCACCGGUAGCGGCCACAAGACAAGUGGCGAUGACGAAAGGCGUAACGCGGCCUUCAUACUGCUUCCCACCACCAGAAUCGAUACCUACCCCAACCGCCAUUUUAUCGAUCAAGCUUUAUUUAUCACGAUUUCGAGAGGGUAAAAAGUGUACAAAACAAAGGAAUGAAAGAAAUAUUUUUGGAUAAGGAAGCUCUCUCUACUAUUAUUAUUCAAUUUAUUUAUCUUAUAUUUUUUGAGAGAGAGAGAUUCUGUUAUCCUUUUUUAUUUCUUUUUUCCUUGUAUUUGUUCCUCUCUAUUAUUCUGCCUGACCUGAGUUUUGAACUUGUACAAAUUAGGGUAUUUAUACAACGAACAAGAUUGAAAAUGGACUGUCCAAUGACUGGAUUUGCAUGCAGGUCCAAGAAAAUAGGUAAAUUAAUGUUCACGCGCCUUUCUCUGGCCGGGCAGCAAAUUAAGGACCAUGGAACAAUAUAUCUCAGUUUACGAUCGAUUAUUCACUACAUUAUCCGUUCCUAAAUAAUCGUCUUUUUUCAUCCCUGGGUGGGUACUGAGUAACUCAAUAAUGCGGCUUGAUUUUAGUAAAAUCAUACAUAAAUGCUUCAAUAAGAUUAAAACAGGAAAAUAUACAUUUUAUGCAGAAUUAGAAAUGUAAAGUUAGAGAUAAUGUGGAACAAGUAUAUUAUAAAUCCUAAUUAAUUACAUUCCAUUUUGUGUCUCAAUUUUGUUAUAUUAUUUAAUGUUUUUUAUCUAGACAAUAUGCCCAAAAUUCAAGGUCUUUUAUAAUAGGGGUAAUUUAUACUGGGCCGAAAAAAGUUUUACUACGUAUAUAAUUAGGCCGACGGGUUGGGUCCUCGGGUCGACCCAUCGGGUUUCGGGUCCACAAAUACAAGACCCGAAACCGACCCAUGCAAACUUGGGUCUGGGUCGGGUCCGAGGCAGGUUGGGUCCAAAUUCGGGUCGGGUUUGGGUCCAACCCAGGCCGUGGCCGUGUCUAUAUCAUCUCAUCAACUUUCUUUAAUUCUUUUAUUUCAAAAAACCACCUAUAAAAUCAUAAACUAAAAAUACCAUCUCAUGGUUCAAUUGACAUGAGCCCGCACAUAAAAAAAUUUAAAAAAAUAAAUAAUUAAAAUACGAAGUCGGCACCACCCUCCCGGACCGGACCGUCGGUCUUUCCUUUAUCACUGCUUUUACCUAGGGGUGAGCAAGUCGGGCCCAUCAACCCGUUACACCCGUCAAACCCGUGAAAAACCGUCCCGUUGGGACCGAACGGAUAGAUCCAUCUAUAGGAUUGGGUCCUAUAAUGGUGAAAAACCGUGGGUUUGGGUGAAAGAUGGGUUUAUUUUUUUAAUACCCGUGAAACCCGUCCCGCCACGCCAUACAAAACGACGUCGUUUUGUUUACAUUAUAUAGUAUAAUAAAUUAAUAAUAUUAAUGAAUAAAUAAAGUAUCUCUAGUGUAUCAAAUACAUAAAUAAACUAAACUAUAAUUGUGGAAGUAAUAGCUAUAAAGAUUAUGAAAAUCUCUAAGAAAAUGUAGGAAAAAAAGCAUAUAUAUACAACGGUUAACACACGAAUGAAAAAAAAGAAGGAAGAAAAUUGUGUUGAAUGGAGCUGAAUAGCGUUGGUUAUGCUUGAAAAUGCUAUAUUUAUUUUAUUUAAUUUUUUUCUUUUAAAUUCUGAAUUAGUUAUUUUUAGUUUUAUAUUAAUUUUUAUUUACUCCUGACAUUUACAUUAUUUAUGUUUGGUUUCAAUUUUAGAUUUUAGGUUAUUCAUUUUAUGUUUUAGUUUCUAAUUAUUCUCCGUUGAAAACCGACAAGUUUCGUUCUUUAAAAUCAAGAACCGUUGUUUGACGGGACGAGGGCGGGUCUUGAUAGAACCCGCGUUUAUGGCCCGGGCACACCCCUAGUUUUACCAAUUGAUAUCUUUCUACAAAUAAUUUGUAUCUUCAAUUUUUGGAAACUUGUAAAGUUCUUCUGUCAAAUCCUGAUGAACCUACAAAAUCCUUCAAAUUGUAUCUGAUUAAAUCCAGGUAUUGUAGACAUUGCCUCAUUUGGAUCCGAGCAUUUUGAAUUUCCCAUUUAUAAAAAAAUCCCAAUAUUUUGGCAUUAAUAAAGACUUUGAUUAAUUACCAAUAUUUUUCAUUUUGAAUUCCAAAAUUCUUAUUAUUACCAUUUUGUUUUAUCGGAAUUGGAAGUGGAAGAAAUAUGAGAUUUCAAUUUCCGAUCCAAUUUCAAUUUCAGAUUUGGAACUUUUGGAAUUCCGUUACAUUUUGGAACAAUAUUAAUUGCCAAGGGAAGGCCUGAACACAAGUUAAUUACCCUUCAACCCAUGCAAUUAAAUCCACAGAUGAUAAAACGCCGAGAAACACGGAUCUCCUCUCCAUUUUCAACCCUCUUUAUGAGUAUAAAUACCCUCACUAGAACAAGUUAAAUUGUCAAGCAUAAUAAUAAUUAUAGAGAGUAAAUAAUAAAAGAGAAAGAAAGAAAUAAAAAGGAUAGUAUAUAACUUAUCCAAAAAAUUUCUUUCUUUCACCUUUUCACUCUCAAAUAUAAUAAAUAAAUAAUAAAUAGAAAAUCUUUCUUUUGUUACAAUUUGUACAUAUUUACCCGAUCGAAUAGGGAUAAAUAAAGCUCGAUCGAUCAAUGGCGGUUGGAGUAGGUAUCGAUUCCGGUGGUGGGAAGCAGUAUGAAGGACGUGUUACGCCUUUCGUCAUCGCCACUUGUCUUGUGGCCGCUACCGGUGGACUCAUUUUCGGUUACGACAUUGGUAUUUCAGGUACGUGAUCGAUGUUAUUUCAUUUUCGUAUUUUUUUAUAUAUGUCACAAUUUGAAAUUCAUUUGAUAUAGCUAGUGGCUGGGCAUUCGGGUCGGGAUAUUCGGGUUUUUGGCAUAAAAAAUAUUACUCGAACCCGACCCGAUUGGAAUAUUCGGGUCAAAUCCCGAAUAACCGGAUACGAAUGCCAACCCCUAUAUAGCUACUAGCUAUCGUCGUUUUUUUAUUGGACGAUAAUUUGAUGAAUUUGUAGGAGGAGUAACAUCGAUGGACGAGUUUCUGAUGAAAUUCUUCCCAUCGGUUUACGCAAAGGAAGAGUUUGUUCAUCUAUUGUGUGUAUAAAUAUGAGAACAUAAUGAAAUAAAAUCAGCUUUUCCUUAAUACUAAAUCUCCUAUCAUCUUUAGUCGCCUCCUUCUUCUCCGCUGCCACCACCAGAAAACUCGGCCGGAAAGCCUCCAUGACCGUCGGGGGUCUGGUCUUCCUGGUCGGAGCAAUUCUCAACGGUGCCGCGAUGAACGUGUGGAUGCUCAUCAUCGGCCGCAUACUGCUCGGUGUCGGCAUCGGGUACGCCAACCAGUCGGUCCCCGUGUACCUAUCGGAGAUGGCUCCGGCGAAGAUCAGGGGAGCUCUGAACAUAGGGUUCCAAAUGGCGAUCACGAUCGGCAUCUUCGCGGCCAACCUGGUCAACUACGGGACCGCGCAGAUGAAGGAGAACGGGUGGAGGGUGUCGUUGGGUCUCGCCGCGGUGCCGGCGCUGAUAAUGACCGUCGGAGCUCUGUUCCUCCCCGACACUCCGAACUCGUUGAUCGAGAGAGGGAUGAAGGAGGAGGCGCGUGAGAUGCUGCAGAAGAUACGGGGGACGACGGAGGUGGACGCGGAGUACGACGACCUUGUGGAGGCGAGCGAGGUUUCGAAGCUGGUGGAGAAUCCAUGGAAGACGAUCAUGGAGCCGAGGUACAGGCCGCAGCUUGUGAUCACAGCACUCAUCCCCUUCUUCCAGCAGCUCACCGGUAUCAACGUCAUCAUGUUCUACGCUCCGGUCCUCUUCAAAACCCUAGGGUUUGGCGACGACGCCGCACUCAUGUCCGCCGUGGUGUCCGGCCUCGUCAACGUCUUCGCCACCGUCGUCUCCGUGUUCACCGUCGACAAGUUCGGGCGGCGUGCCCUGUUCCUGGAGGGCGGAAUACAGAUGUUCGUGUGCCAGAUCGCCACCGGAGCAUUGAUCGCUUCCGUUUUCGGAGUGUCCGGAGACGGCGCGUUCAGCAAGGAGAAAGGGAACUUGGCAUUGGCCUUGAUAUGCAUCUACGUGGCGGCGUUCGCGUGGUCGUGGGGACCGCUAGGGUGGUUGGUGCCGAGUGAGAUCCACCCGUUGGAAACGAGAUCGGCAGGACAGUCGAUGAACGUGUCGGUGAACAUGUUCUUCACGUUCGUCAUCGGACAGCUGUUCCUAUCGAUGCUUUGCCAUUUGAAGUUCGGGUUGUUCUUCUUCUUCGGGGGAUGGGUUUUCGUGAUGACGGUGUUCGUGUACUUUUUCAUCCCGGAAACGAAGAAUGUGCCGAUCGAAGAGAUGAACAGAGUAUGGAAGAGCCAUUGGUUCUGGGGUAAAUAUAUUCCUGAUGAUGCACCCGGUCUUGCCAAUGCCCACCAUAACAACAAUGCUUGAUUCUUAUAUAUAUUAUUAAUGUAACCUUUGAAGAAGAAUGAAUUAUAAUGUGUGUAUAUAUGUUUAUAUGUAAAAAAAUUCAUUUAUCUUCAAUUAAUUAAAAAAAAUUGAAAUAUUAUAUUUUGACAUAAUUAAUUAAUGACAAUGGUCGUGGAGCGGGUUUGACGACCCGAACCCGACAAUCAACUCGCAUCGAACGUUCACACUCAAGCUAUAGCCGAUGCCACUGAUUAAGGUGGUAAUACCUAACUGCCCCUAGUUGUCCAUUAGUUGGAACAAAUACUUGUCGCUAAGGCUAAACUACUUUGGAUUGUUUUGUUGGUGAAAUAAAAUAUAAUUAAUUAAAUAAGUGUUGUAAAAGGUUAAUGUCUGUGUAGUACGGAAACCUCAACUUUUUAACAUUGUCGUAAACUCGAAGACACAUGCCCGAUACCUUAUAGGUCAUUUUGCAAUUUCUAAAAAGUUUGAAUAGCAAAACUUCAAACUUUUUUGUUGUUUCUUAAAUUAUUUACAUGAUCAAUUGCAAAUCGAUAGUUGAUAGUAAAAUAUGAUUUGAAUAUGUUUGUAUAAAAAAAUAUAUAAAAGAAUAUAUGUGUAUAUAUAUAUAUAUAUAUAUAUAUAUAUAUAUAUAUAUAUAUAUAUAUAUAUAUAUAUAUAUAUAUAUAUAUAAACUUAUAUAUGUUUAUAUAGAAUAUUUAUAAAUAUAUCCCUAUACUUUUAAUAUUUACACGUUUCUCCAAAGUUCUCGUAUCUACAUUUUCGGAACAUGCCGUUUCGCCGUAUCCAUUUCCAUGUUUCCUCGUAUCGCCGUUUCUGUGUCCAUGCUACAUAGGUUAAUGCACAUCAAUUAAGGAAAUUAUUAAAUAUUCUUGAUGGUGGAAAGGGAAAAAAAAAUCUUAUUUUUCAAAACAACCCUUCUCUUUAUUUGUUCAUCAAUUUGUCUUUAAUGGUGGGGUAUAGUGGAACAAAGGGGCAAUUUUCUUUUUGGUGUGGUUUUGAUUUGGAGUUUUUAAAAUGGUGUUGUUUGAGGAGGAGUUAGCAAAUUGGGGUUGGCUGCCACCGGCAACGGCGGCACCGGCCGGAGACGCCACUGCCAACGGCGGCACCGGCUGGAGGCGCCGUCAACGGUGGCAUCUUCUACCGGCUUUUAAAUUUUUAAUAUUUUAAUAUUUUAAUAUUUUAAUAUUUUUUAAUAUUUUAUUAUUUUAAUAUUUUAUUAUUAUAUUAUUUUAAUAUAUAGACGGUCCAGAUUGCACUGGAAAAAUUCAAUCCGACGGCCCAGAUCAAGACUGCCACCUCGGCAGCUGUGCUUGACCAGAAGACGCCGUUGACAACGGCGUCUUUAGGAGACGCCACCGACAACGGCGUCUUUAGGAGACGCCACCGACAACGGCGUCUCCAUUCUCUCUCCUCAAGCUGCUCCUCAUUUUCUCUUCUUCCUCCCAGUUGCUACUCCUCAUUUUCUCUUCUUCCUGUUAAAUUUCAAAAACAAAAAACCAAAUUUAGUUUUCAAAUUAAAAAUAAAAUAUAUAAUAUAAUUACCUCCGGCUGCCACCGACGCCGCCUGGCCGCCGCCGCUACCUCCCUCGCCGUCGCCUUUCCCGCCGGCGUCUCCGCCGCCGCUGGUGCUCGGUGGUGCUCUUCACCCAACCAAGGUAAUAUUUUAUUAUUAUUGUAAAUAAUUAAAAAAGAAAAAAGUUAUUAUUAUGUUCAAAAUUUUUAAUUAAUUAUUGUAAAUACACGUGAUUAGUGUUUUUAGGAUGCAUGUGGGUAGUUAGUUAGUUAGUUAGUUAGUAGUUUAUUUAUUUUAUAGUUGGUAUUAGUACCAUUUAUAUUUUAUAAGUAUGGGCAAAAAAAAAUUUUGGUAUUGUUUUGUAAAACAGUAGCUAAAAUGGUGUUGUAAAACAUGAGGCAAUUAAAUUAAAUUGACUAAUUAUUUUUUUGGUAUGCUUAAUUAAAUUAUUAUUUUUUAACUAAUGUGUCUCAUUAUUAAUUAAUCUGGAUUGAUGAGUUAAUUAUCUCCUUAAUCUUUUGAAGAUUGAUGGCGGCUAAAAAUAAUGUCAAAGUGUACGUGUACUUUUGAGGUCACAUAAUUCCUGAUGAUUGGGUAGUGCAAUAUAGCAUUGCCCACAGAACAACAUUCCGAAUUAAACGUGACUUGUCCUUUGCACAUUUUCUGUCAAAGUUGUAUCAACGUCUAGAUGUCGAUGUUAAUCAGUUUGGGCUAAGAGUGUGUUGCAAAUCUUACAUUUAUAAUGGAGAAAUAAUGAAGGAGAUGAUUACCGAGAUAACAGCAGAUGAAGAUUUAGAAAUGUAUAUCGAUCCGGAGGUAUGGACGAUUUAUCUACUACACAGGGAUUUAUGGAUAUGUUCGGUGCGUCUACAUCUCAGGUACCCAGAUUUACAGAUUUAGUUGGUCCAUCUACGAAUGAUUACGUUCCACAUAUGUCAUGGUCCGAUUCUCUAGCUACCCCAUAUCCUCCUGCUAUUGAUACUCGGUUCUCUUCAUGGGGUCCACAUUUGGAGCUCAAUUUGGGAUACUCAAGUCCCCAAGAGCGGAUCCGACCACAGUAUAAUGUUUCCCCUGUUCCAUAUCCACCGGAUGACACCUAGUUUGUUGAUGAUGUACCGGCAGAUCUUGACAUUCGUCGAGAUGGUAGGCCGCGUAGGACUAGACGGGCACCUGCAUGUGGCACUGGUUCACAUAGGCACUGACUUCAUAGUGCCAAUUUUAUUUUCUUGUACUCAUUUUGUCUUUGUACUCAUUUUGGACCUAUUUAUUUUAUAUAACUGUUUUAUUGGACCUAUUUAUUUUAUAUAACUCUUUUAUUUUCUAGAACUCGUUUUGUUUUUGUCUACAUGUUUUUAAGAUUGUACCCUAUUUUAUUGUGUUGAUUAGAUAAAUAUAUGCAAUGAUUAAUUUAAUACUAAUUGCUAAAAUGUAAUAAAUUUAAUACUAACAUCAAACUAAUGAAUGUAGUUAGAAUUGUUUUAUUUCUUAAAAAAAAAUUAAAAAUCACAAAAUAUUAAAAAAUUAGAAAAUAUUAAAAUAUUAAAAUAUUAAAAUAUUAAAAUAUUAAAAAAUAUUAAAAAAAAAUAUUAAAAUAAUAAAAUAUUAAAAAAUAUUAAAAUAUUAAAAUAUUAAAAUAUUAAAAUAUUAAAAUAUUAAAUUAUAAAAAUAUUAGAUGACGCCACCGGAGGCGGCGUCUCCAGCUGGUGCCGCCGGUGGCAGUGGCGUCUCCGGCCGUUGCCGGUGGCGGCCAACCCCAAUUUGGUAACUCCUACUCAAACAACACCAUUUUAAAAACCCCAAAUCAAAACCACACAAAAAAAAAAAAUUGCCCCGUGGAACAAACAAAAAUUGUCAUGUCUUAAAAUUUCAAAGUGACAUUUUAUUCCUUAUAUAAAUUCGUGUUUUUUAAGUUUUUUUCAAAAAAAUCCCGAAAACAAUUCCAAACAUAUUAUUUCUCCUCCAUACAUGAUUUAACUUAUACGGUAAAAAAAUUUAACUGUUACGGUAAAAUAUGUCCACUAAAAAGCAAACAAACAUCAUUUUAUUAAUCAGAUUCUUUGCUAAAUUAUCUAUUUCAAACACUAAUCCGAAAGGAAUUCAGGCCCAAAAUAGCAGGGCCUCAUUCGGCCCAAAUUAAACUAACAUACUAUAAAGCCUUCCCAAGCAGGCCCAACGGAGAGAAGGCUAAGCACCAGAUGCUCCUCGCUCCUUAAGCUACCGAGGAGACUAAUGCCCGAGGAGUAAGGACCGGUCACUCGCUUGGGCGAAGGGGGCGCGAGGGUCCCACCAGGGGGCUUUUAGCGGCGAUAAAAUGCAGCGCAUUAAUGAUGGCUGACAAUCAUUCUUUAUGCUUGCACCGGCGUAUUAAAUACUCUGACACCAACAUUUAAUGCUCGAAUGACUGAAUACCGCCUUCGAUAAAAGGCUCCCAAGUCAGGCUAAGCCGGGAAACCCGGAGAAGGGUUGUCGUAGCCAUCCCGAGGAGAAUGAUGUUUAACGUCGUCCGACAAAGGUGGGAAAGCAGUCGGCCCACCUGCUCGCCCGGGUUUUAUGUAAGGUUCAGGUUAGAACAUUAUAAAUACUAGUUCAGAUCUACCAGGUAAGACAGAAGAAAAACUCUUAAUCUACAUUAUUCUACCUAAAACUACUCCAAAUCACUGACUUGAUCGUCGUAGUGCUAACUUCGGUCAGUCCAGUUAAUUCCUGUGCAGGAUAAAUUGAGCACGAUAGACGCCAAGUUCCGGGCUCACAAACUGCCAUACAAGGAUUCCAAAGGUGAUUUUUAAGCUGAUCAAACACACUUAAACAUGAUUUGACGUGCAUAAAUAAACAAUCAUUACUUUUAUUCUUAAAUUAUUCCCACAAAAUAUAUAUUUCCAAAAUAAAACGAGUCUUAUUUAAACAUAAGUAGGUGUCCUGUAAUCAUUGAGUACAAAAUAGGAUGUGCUUUUUGAGAGUAUGACAUUAAGAAAUGGCCAAGUAGGGGUGUGCACGGGUCGCUUCGGUUCGGUUUUAGCCAACAAACCGAACCGAACCGAAUAUAUCGGUUUUUGUAAAAUUAAAAACCGUGUAUGUCGAUUUUUUAUCGGUUCGGUUUCUUUCGGUUUCGGUUUUUUUCGGUUCGGUUUCGGUUAUUUUUCGGUUCAAGUGUCAAUAUAUAUUCAAGUUGUUGUACAAACAAAAAAAUACAAUUACAAUUACUUUCACAACUUACUAAUGCAAUGAAAAUAUAAAAUCUUUAAUUUCAUAGGACUUACGUAAUUUAGAUGAUGUAUUAUGCUUCAUUUUUUUUCCUACUUUCAUCUACCACAUUAUUAAAACCAUGAACUCAAGUAAAUUUUUACUUACUAAAUAAAUAAAAUACAAUGUCUCAAUUUAUGAACAAAUGCUUAGAAUGAGACAAGUAAUUGAAAGAUAGAAAAUAAAUAUUAAUUAGGGUAAAAUAAUACAUAUAUUAUAUAAAAUGAAGUCAUUUUAUAGUUUCGGUUCGGUUCGGUUUUUCGGUUCGGUUAUUUACCUUCCCACCAUACCGAACCGAAUAAUUCGGUAUUUCAAAAAUAAAAAACCGUACAUGCGGUUUGCUAUUCGGUACGGUUUAAAAUGGCUCGGUUUUUCGGUUUUUUUGCUCACCGGGUAGGGGCCAAGUAAGAAUAAAAAAAAAAAAAAAUCAAUUCUUUUAAAGUAAGAAAAUUAAUUGUCAUUAAAAAAAAAAAAAAAAAAUCAUUUUGAUCCGAUCCGAUUUGAUUCUAAGUUUUAUUUUUUCAUUAUAAAUUUUCAAAUUGGUAAUAAAAAUGGAGUUUUUACUUAAAUAUUGAAAUAUUUUCUACCAAUACUUAUUUUAAUUUGACAGUUCUAAUUUCGAUACAUAAAUAUAAAACAUAUAUAUUUUUGUCUACUUUAUUAAUAUUAUACAUUUUUCACAUAAAAAGAAUUACUAAACAAAAGUAGAUGUUGCCAAAUGAUCAGAGUUCAGGGAUGUGGAUGCCAAAUGUUAAAUGUUUAAGGGGUGUGAUUGCUAAAUAGUUAUAGUUCGGGGAUUCAUUAUUAUCAAGCACCGCUUUCUUCUACGUCUCUCUUCCCUAAAUUAUUGGUAAUUAUUUUACUUCCCCAAAUUUCGAAAUUCGAAUAUCCUCUUCCUCUUCCGCUUCCUCUCCGCAUUCCAUUUUCCGUUCUCCAUUACUUCUGCAAUUCGAGAUUGUUCGAAUUCGAAUUUCUUGUGAAGCGAUGGCGGACCCUAAUUCCAAGGCCGACGCCGUCGACACCACCGUUCGCGCCGACGAAGAACAAAACCCUACCAAUAAUCCACCGACCGAAGGCGACGGUGCCGCCGCCGCCACCGCCGUCGCCGCCGCAAAUCGUCCACGGAGAACUCCGUUUACGAACCUCAGUCAAGUCGAUGCGGAUCUUGCCCUUGCCCGUACCCUCCAAGAACAGGUUUUUUUUUCUUUCUUUUUUCUAUUUGGGUUUUGUUGCUAUCAAUUUCAAUUCCAAAGAUGUCUGUUUUGAAAUUGAACUGCUCGAAUUCUCCUUGAAGUUGGGUUUAAUUAUUUGUCCGAACAUUCGAUUCUCUAUAAUCAUGCGGUGAUAACCUUGUUGGUUUGGGCAGUUCUCAGAGUUGCAGCUGGAAUUUCGUCGAAUUGUAUUUGGCAUUCCUAUUUUUGUUCUCCUUCUCUGCUGUAGGAAAUUUAAGAAUAUAUUUUGAUAUGCAAAUGAUUGGGUAAAUUGGUAUUACCUUUUUUAAAAGUGAAGGUGUAGUCGAUUAUCCACCGGAAUUACAACUCUAGACCAGCCCCUUCAAAUGCGACGUUUAAAGUCCUCUUGACUUCUGUAGAUACUACUGUCUACUAGAGUAAUAAACCCUUUGUCAUUGUUGUGGUAUCUUUAGUAGUUACCAAAGAGAAUAUCACAAAAUAUGGACGAAUUCACUCAUUCUCAUUCGCCUCUUAAGAUUUUUAUGAACCUGCGUCAAAGAGUGCUAUUUUAGGCUAUAUGAAAAUGAUUCCCAUUCAUUCUCAUUCGAAGACAGUUGGGGAGGAACCAAGUUGGUACAACACUUGCAUUCUAUAGCUCCUACGUUAUUCCCUUUAUAAAAGUAGUGACACGAAAGAGUUAUGGAAGCCCAAUAUGUAUGAGUUAGGGAUAUUGACACCAAUGACGGACAUUUAAAAUAUUCCCCUUUUGCCGAGUGGGGAACAAGCCAUUAAUCAUUUCCGCAGUUCUUGUAUUUUUAGGCUUUUGAGGAGUGUCUAAAACAAAACUCUCGGUGAAGUUUCUAUUUCGUCCUCGUUUUGUGAAUUCUCUCAAUUCUAUAAUCAUCACCAUGAUAGUUACCAAUGGUUUACGGUGUGUGAGUUAUUAUUGAUUACCCAGUGAGAGAACUUUGGCCUUCUAUAUUAAACUUCAGAAGGGGGCUAGUGAAAGAGUUGUAGAUCCAGUAAUAGGGCGACACUUCAUCGGUAAUGGUUAUUGAUCUUCUCUUUGCAUGUGUUAUUAACAUUCCUACAUCUGCAUUUAAAAUGAUGAUUCUGAGCUUGAAGUUACAUGCUAUUUUUUUUUUCUUUAUGUGCCAAUGUUCUCCUUACAGUUUUUAUAUCAGGAAUUAAUGAUAAUCCUUGCUAAUUAUUUCAGGCACCCAAUACAUACACUUACGCAUGUUGUGGCUGUUUUCUUUAUUAUAUAGCUUCACCUCUGGGCAUAAAACGAAAAUGACUGAUAUAUUUGUGAUCUUAACUAUAACAGAAAACAUGUCAUAGUGUUAUUUAUUGUUGUUGAUAAAUUUAAUUUAAUAUAUGUUUUUUGGAACAGGAAAGAGCUUAUAUGAUGUUGAGAAUGGAUAUGGGUGAAGGCAGUGAUUACGGAAGUUGGGAAGCUGAGAGCUACGAGGAUGAGGAUGAGGUUGAUGCAUAUGAUGACGCCAGUGAAGAGGAUUAUGAUGGUUCUGAUGUCGAGGUGGAUGAUGAAGCAGAAGAUGCUUUUGAUGUGCAUGCCCGUGCUGGAGGAGUAGAAAGUGAUAGUCAAAACGACGAAGUAGAUCCAUCUGCUUUUUCGAGUGACGAGGCAUAUGCUAGAGCCUUGCAGGAUGCUGAAGAACGGGAAAUGGCAGCUAGAUUGUUAGCCCUAGCUGGAAUAAAUGAUAGUGAGUCUGAAUUGACCAUAAUUUAGUUCUUUGCUUUGUUUAUUGUCCUUUGGACAAUGUAUGAGAACUAUGUGAUAUUGAAAUGCCGUUUAACGAUUCUGUAGUGGUUGUUGGGGAGGAUGAUGAAGAAGAAGAUGAUGAUGAUGAUGAUGAUGGUGAAUAUGAUGAAGAUGAAGAGGAGCAUGGUAGUAAUGCUCAGGUAUGUCUGACGUGAUUUGGUUUUUAUCUCGUCUGUGCAUAUGUCAUGAAGCUCCUUAUUACUAAACAACAUCAUUUUCGCUCUGACACCGUAGUGUUUGACAUAUCUUUCUGGUUUUGGUCCUGUAAUUUUUUAUAGUGCCGUACACAUUUAAAUGAUUCUGGAAGUUGUUGUUUGCUUAUUCCUGGCAUUCCUGCCAAUAUAUAUUUACUCUAAUUUAGGCCAUGAACAAAUAUAACUUGGCAAAACCCGUUUUAGCACCACCAUACUGUUGUUUUUAGGGAGGAGACGCUUAAGCUUGAUCAAUGUCGUAUUACAGGCUUGUACAACAUAUUUGCUCCAAGAUUUAGAUGUAUUAUCAGUGUAUGUAAACUACUGAAAUCUAAACAUAUCUGAGAUGGCGUUAAUAAGAGUGUGCCAAAGGAAUGAUUGUCCGUAUAUUCUUGUAUGAGCUUACAUUUUAAGUGUCUGUAUUUCCUCUCUCCCCGUUUGUUGUGAUUCAUGUAUUUUUUAAUAUUAGGAUGCAUGGGAGGAGGUCGAUCCCGAUGAACUGUCGUAUGAGGUAAAAUAGUGAUUGCACAGUACUUCUAUCAUCUUUCUUCUUGGGGUUUGUUUUCAAUUUGAUAUAGUUGAUUUACUGUUACAGGAGUUGAUUGCACUGGGCGAUGUCAUUGGAACAGAGAGUAGGGGUCUUUCUGCAGACGCAAUUGCUUCAUUGCCGUCCGUAAACUAUAACUCAAAAGGCACUCAUGAAGGAAACGGCGAUUCGUAAGUGAACGAGGCCCUCUACUUGUGCCGAAACGAUAUUACGUCUUCUGUUUAAGGAAUGCUGACAAAAAUUUUAUCCUUCUCCCUCAGCUGUGUUAUAUGCAGGUUGGACUAUGAGGAUGACGAUAACUUGACUGUUCUCUCUUGCAAACAUUUAUACCAUCCCGAGUGUAUUAGCAAUUGGUUAAAUAUAAACAAGGUAAAUUUUCGCCAAACGAAAGUUUGUUAGACUUACCUGUAUGCUUCUUGCAAUUCUGGUUAUCACGAUCUUGACAUUAAUCACAUAAACAUCCGUAAAUUUGUAUCCAGGGCUCGAAAUUGGUUUCGGGUUUCCGAACUCUUACCCCUAGAUGCUCUUUUAUAUUUGCCACACUAUUGAUAUUUAAUUAGUAUGUUUUGCUUUUUCGAAGAUUCGUUUAUGUGCAUUGAAUGUUCGAGAAAGAGGAAAAUAUUUAAUGACAUGAUUCGGCAAAUUGUGUAGGUUUGUCCUGUAUGCAGUGCUGAAGUCUCGAUUCCGGGGAAAAGCUAGCAGAUUUUCAUCGAAUAUAUUUUGCACAAAGAUGGGAGCGGCCAAUAAUUCGAUUGCUUGUACUGUUUGGCUCCUAUAAUUAAAAACCUAGACAUAUAAAAAAAAAAGAAUGUACUAAUGAACUUCUGCCAAUGGAACCUUUUCGAUGUUCUAUCUGAAUUAUUUUGGUCUUAUUGAAUUGUUUGUUCCCAUAUUUUAAUUUAGAGUUUAUUGCAUUUAGUACCCUUGUUUACAGUUUUUGACACGGGUAAACUCCAUGUUCCAACUUGUUGGAUACUGAAACUUGGGGGAAAUGCAUAAAUAAAAAAAAAAUACAAGGGGUACAUUCAUAGUUAUUAAAAAGUAUUAUAAUGGUUACUUUAUUUAUCGUCAAUUAUAUAUUUGUACUUUGUUUGAGUAAUUAAUUAUAUAUCUGUAUCUAUAAAUUAUAUAUAAUAUACAAGUUCCAAUCGGAACUAUCAUUCCACAAAUGACAUUCGGGGGCAUAAAUUUGAUUAUAUUUUUCUUAUAUCUUGAAGUAUGCAGUAAUUACAAUCAUCCCUCUAAAACAUUGUUAGAAACCCUAACGGAAUAAUGCAUUCGAUAAGUUAUCCCGUUAGGGUUCUAACGAACUAUUAGUUUUAAACAGUGGUGGAGAAAACAUAUAGUUAGGGGCUGACAUACAUUUCUUAAAUCCAUAUUAUUUUAUAUAAGAUUUACAAAUUUCCGUAUAUGGUAGCAUUAACGGCCCCGCAGAAAACAAAUAUAGUGCAUAUCGGUCACCAGGACAUGAAAUCUUAGCUCCGGUAAUUGUUUCAGGGGUGUCAAAACAUUUUUUUUUAAGAAAAGUUUCCGAUACGUGGAAACGCGUGCGAGUAGAAGUUUCCGUCCAUCGUAAAUAGCAAUUCUUUUUAUUUAUUUAAUUAAUUUAUAAUUUACAGCAAUAGCAAAAAAAUAAGGACUGAGAAUUUGCAUUUGGGCUUCGUCCCCAAAAUUCAGGUUCAAAACCCCCCAAACCCCCGGGAGAGAACUUUAUCUCUUUCUUCCAAAAAUCAAAGCACAAAUGUGGUGAAUGGUGGUGAUAUGUAUUCUACUCUCUCUCCUCCCCUUCAAAACCCUUCACUCUUCAGCUUCCCUCUUCGCCACUGCGCCAAACCCAAACCCAGAACCACCACCACCACCGCCGCCGCCCCAUUCACCGGCAAUUCCACUUUCCUUUUCAAAUCAUUCUCACCCCUUCACCCACUUCGAGCUCCGGCGGCCGCCGCCGUUCGUUGUUCUGUUAAUGACGAUAAGGUAAUUGAAAGCCGACCCAUAAUCCUAUCCAACAACCCCAAACGCUGCGACGAAGAAAACAAUGCACUCGCCAUUGCCAAGCCGGUUGCUUAUGCAUUGCUCUGCAUCGUGUUCGGAUUUUGCUUUCCGUUCUUCGGGUUUCCGGAGACCGGCUUUGGCUGCCGCCGCCGCUCCUCCUGCGGCUGCGAGCAGAUUAGUUGUAACCGAGGGAGAAUGGGCACGAGUACUUCGAGUUGUACCAGAAGGUUUGUUGACAGUUGUCUCGAAGCUGCUUAAGAUAAUCGAGGCUGCAAAAAAUCGAGGGGAAGGAAGACUUUCGCUAUGAAUGUUGAGGAGGGGGUUACAGAGGUGAAAACGACUAAGGGGGCAUUACAAGAAGAGAUAAUGAACGGUCUUUACGCGGAGCUGAGGGUUUUGAAUGGAGAGAAAGAGACGCUGAUGAACCGCUCGGAGGAAAUCGUGGACAAAGUAUUUAAGUCGAAGAGGGAGGAGGAGAAUUUGGCGAAGAAAGUGAAAGGUGGUGUUGCUAAGAUUGAGAGGUUAAGGGAGGGAAGGAGGAGUUUGGAGAAUGAAUAUAACGAAAUAUGGGAGAGGAUUGGCGAAAUUGAAGAUUUGAGUGAGAGGAAAGAAACUAUGGCAUUGAGCAUUGGUGUGAGGGAGCUUUUGUUUAUCGAGAGAGAGUGUGAGGCGUUGGCCGAGAGCUUCCUUAAGGAAAUGAAAAGGAUCAAGACUGAAAGGUAAUAAACGAACCCCCUAAUUGUAAUUUUGUAAUGAUUUAGAUGCUUAUAUGCUACAAACACCUGAGAUGAAGUUCUCGUAAGAAGAAUGAACUUGAACAUUAAAUAUGGUUCCCUUUUCUUUUUAUGUUUGAUUGUCUAAGUUCAAAUUAUUAUCAAGCCGAUAAUUGUGUUUCUCCCUUUCUCAUUUCCGCUUGACUUAACUUUGUUGUAUUUACAUUGCUGACAUAUUGUCUAAAUGCAUUGGCUUUUAGAGUUGCAGGACUGAAUCAUGUUUCAUUCAUUUGUUCAUCUAAGUUUGACGACAUUUUUCUUUUAGAACAUGAAAUGUCUGCCUGAAUUCUAAAUUCUUGAAAAGGAGCUGAGUUAUCUGCAUGGUGCGCAAAUUUAGAAUCCUGAGCUGAAUGAUCUCAUCCAACUUUGCUGUUUAUACUGCUUUUGGUCUCAUGAACUUGCAGUACCCCACAAUCCCCUCUUACCAAGCUCUCAAAAGGCGAGCUUCAGAAAGAACUGCAGGAUGCAAAUAGGAAAUUUCAGGAGCAAGUAAUCUUACCGAGGGUCCUGGUAAGUGAGGAUACGGAUUCGCAAUCCGUUGAAGAUUCAACUGCUUUUGCACAUAGGAUACAACAAAGACUUCGAGAUUCAAGAGAGUUGCAAAAGAACAUGGAGGCUGACAUCAGAAAAACUAUGAAGAAGUAUGGUGAGGAAAGACGUUUUGUCGAAAUCACACCACCAGAUGAAGUUGUAAAGGGUUAUCCUGAUAUUGAGCUGAAGUGGAUGUUUGGGAAGAAGGAAGUAGUAGUCCCGAAAGCUGUGAGCCGCAAUUUAUUUAGUGGCUGGAAGAAAUGGCGAGAGGAUGCCAAGAUGGACUUCAAAAGAAGUUUACUGGAAGAUCCUGAUCUAGGUAAAAAGUACGUGGCUGAAAGACAGGUAAUAUUGCCAGAAAAAAAAUAAUGGAAUAGCCGAAUUUUUCUCAUCCAUGUUUGUGUUUCUGUUGAAUCAGAAAUCUAGAUAAUCUUUAUUUGAUGUGCAUAAGUUGUGAAAUCAUUGUGAUUAGCUCAAGUUUAGCCUUUCUUUGCAUGUGAAAUGCGCUGUUUCUUUUGCUCCUUCCGUAUAUCUCAUUUAAAAAUGCGAAUUAUAGGAACGCAUUCUUCGGGAUCGGGAUAGAGUGGCAUCAAGGACUUGGUAUAAUGAGCAAAGGAAUAGAUGGGAGUUGGAUCCGAUAGCUGUUCCCUACGCUGUAUCCAAUAAACUUGUGGAAAAUGCUCGAAUUAGGCAUGAUUGGGCUGCCAUGUACAUCAGGCUUAAGGGGAGUGACAAGGAAUAUUAUGUGGAUGUCAAAGUAGGUUGUUGUCGUUUUUCCUUCUUCAAAAAAACGAUAUUUUUCUGCAACUUCUAUCGACUGAGUUAUACAAUGUUAUUGUUUCUGUAACAGGAAUUUGAGAUGUUGUUUGAAGAUUUUGGGGGUUUUGAUGCAUUGUAUUUGAGAAUGAUUGCGGCUGGUAUCCCAACUGCAGUUCAGCUGAUGUGGAUCCCCUUUUCAGAAUUGAAUUUCAGUCAGCAGUUUCUCGUUACGGUGACAUUAUGUCGUCGAUUAUUUACUGGAUUUUGGAGAAAUUCUUUGGUUUCGAAGGCAAAGAACUGGACCCUCUUAAGAAUAAGGAACACUAAUGAUGACAUAAUGAUGAUGAUUGUUUUCCCUGUUGUGGAGUUUCUUAUCCCUUAUCAGGUAAGCAGUAGAAUUGCUAAAAAUGUUCAUUCAAUUUCUGAAACGUAAGCUAUUUCCAUUUGUUUGGUUCUCCUUUUAUUCUCUUACGGCACACUAUUCUCUUUCAUUCUCGUUUUUUUUUAAUAUUAUAUAAAUCCCGUUAGAAAUGAGAAAAUAUGAGGGGUAGGUUUUGGACCUUGGCUUUAAUAACCAAGUCCAGGUAUCAACUCUCCUAAUUUGGUCUUAUGAUGCAUUCCUUUUCACUAUUUUUUUUCCCAUUCAUGUAGGUUAGGAUGAGUUUGGGCAUGGCUUGGCCAGAGUAUUCUGACGUAUCUGUCGGCUCAACUUGGUAUUUGAAGUGGCAGUCCGAGGCUGAAACUAAUUUUAUAAAACGAAAAAGGGAUGGGUUUCAGUGGUAUUUUUGGUUUGGGGUGAGAACCGGCAUAUAUGGAUAUGUGCUAUAUCAUGUAUUCCGGUUUAUGAAGAGAAAAGUUCCAAGAGCUCUUGGUUUUGGGCCUUUAAGAAGAGAUCCCAACUUCAGGAAGUUGCGUAGAGUGGUAAAGUUCUAUCUGCCAGCUAUAAUUGCUGAUAGUUAAAUGCAAUUGCAAAUAAAUCAAGAGUGUUUGAUGUUACUGAUUUAUCAUCCAUCCAAUUUGUCCAUUUUUUUUCAGAUUAACUUACCUCAUGUUUAUUGUUGAUGCAAGCAAUUAACUUACCACUUCACUGGUUGUUUUAUCACCUUUUAUGUUGUAUUGCAGAAAUAUUAUUUUAGAUAUCGAAUUAGGAAAAUUAAGCGUAAGAAAAAGGAUGGCGUUGAUCCAAUAAGCACUGCUUUUGAUAAUAUGAAGGUUGUCACUCUACACUCGCUUGUCUCAAUGUUUUCAGUCUUUUUUCGUAAUUAUAAUAGUUUUUUUUAUCACUGAUCUCAGAGGAUAAAAAAUCCUCCCAUACGGUUGAAAGACUUUGCCAGUGUUGAAUCUAUGAGGGAAGAAAUUAAUGAAGUUGUGGCAUUUCUGCAAAAUCCUAACGCAUUCAAAGAGAUGGGAGCUCGUGCACCUCGGGUAUGUCAUUUAUGAAGAUAUGAUCCAAAUGCAGUUUCUUUUCUAACAUAUGACUUCCCAUUGACUUUUACACUCAUGCAUCACAGGGUGUUCUCAUUGUUGGCGAGAGAGGAACAGGUAAAACAUCCCUAGCAAUGGCUAUAGCAGCUGAAGCAAAGGUUCCUUUAGUUGAAGUGAAAGCACAACAGCUGGAAGCUGGUCUCUGGGUGGGCCAAAGUGCGUCAAAUGUUAGAGAAUUGUUUCAAACAGCACGAGAUCUGGUUGCUUCUUUAUUCCUACUCAUUCAUUUUAUUUCUAAUUUAUCAAGAAUUGUCAGGAAACUUAAAGCGUCACAUACUGGAGGUUAAUAAAACACUAUAUUUGGUUCACAAAAGAAUAUAUUGGUGUUAUUAAGAUAGGAAACUUGACCUACUUUUUUUUUUGCCCCCUCUCAUUUUCACUUUCUUUACAGAACCAGUUUUUUCACUAUUCUACUUUUAUUCUUUUGGUUGAGCAUGUUUUUGACAGUUGAUCAUCGUUCUUCUAGGCUCCUGUCAUUAUAUUUGUGGAGGAUUUUGACCUCUUUGCUGGUGUCCGUGGCAAGUUCAUUCACACCAAAAAGCAGGAUCAUGAGUCUUUCAUCAAUCAACUUCUGGUGGAACUUGAUGGGUAUUUUUCUUUUUCUGUUAGUUGUAUAAUGCAUUAUAAACCGUGCUGGGUGCUGACUUAAUAUAUUAUUAGGCCCGGAACCUUUUCUACACGACCGGAGUCUUAGUUCUGUACUGCAAUUCAAUGCAUGUUUUUUAGUGUUAUUUAUUAUAUUAUAUUAAGUUGUAUCCCGUAAUCUUUCCCAGGUAAACAUAUCCAUAAACUGUUGCAGAGUACAAUCAUUAUGCAGCAUUCCACUAAAUUAGGACUUUUUAUCUUGUUAUUUUACUUCUACAAAUUAUGUUACAUGGAUAAAGUGAGUAGCUGGCUGCAAUUUUUGGCCCACCCCUUUUAGAUUUCCAAACCAUGACUCCAUGCACAAGUUUAAUUUUAUAGAGUUUGUAAGCAAAGCUAGUCAGUCUGAGGCAUAUGCUUUGUGUGCCUCGGUUGGAUCAACUAGUGGUAUUGCCUUUGUUCUUUGGUGUUGUUCAUGUGAUGAAACUUGAUCUAUAAAGGUGUCACUUUAUCCUCUUUAGACUGAUGACUUUUCUGUGAUUAGACUAGUGAAAGAUUAUCUGCAUCAAAUGUUUUCGUGGCUACUGCCCUUUUUUGUUUUUGGGUGCCUUCUCCAAAAUUAUUACAUCCUGGAAUUGCUUCAUAGGCUAUUGCAUUGAAGACAAGGCAUUGUGAAAUAUUGUAACUGUAUGGGGAAGCGGUUCAGGACACAAAAUAAUUUCAUAUAUCUGUUGUAAUAUCAAUGUUCCUGUUGCUCAUUUGCUCUAUUCUUUAUAGGUUUGAGAAACAAGAGGGGGUGGUUUUGAUGGCUACUAGUCGAAAUCUUAAACAAAUUGAUGAGGCUUUGCAGCGUCCUGGUAGAAUGGAUAGAAUAUUUCAUCUUCAACGGCCAACUCAAACAGAAAGAGAGAAAAUCCUACGUAAUUCUGCAAAAGAAACAAUGGACGAGAAUCUUAUUGACUUUGUCGAUUGGAGAAAGGUAAUCAGAAUUACUUCGCAAUUGCUCUGUAUGGCAUAUUUGUGCUAUUACACGUUUACCUCUUCUGAACACCAAUUUGUUUCCCACCAGCUGAUAACAAUCAUCUUUAUCAUCAUAUCUAAACCUUGCAGGUUGCUGAAAAAACAUCUCUUCUUCGUCCUAUAGAACUGAAACUUGUCCCCUUGUCUUUAGAAGGUAGUGCCUUCAGAAGAAAGUUUGUUGACAUGGAUGAACUUAUGAGCUAUUGCAGUUGGUUUGCAGUAAGAAUAUUUCUUUCCCUCGUCUCAUCUUGACAAUUGGCUGAUAUAAGGUCCAUUUAUGUUUUCCAAAUACGAUCUAUUUUGCUGUAUUGUGAAUCUAUUUUGCUGUUAUGCAGACUUUCAGUGACUUAGUCCCCAGUUGGGUGAGGAAAACCAAAACUUCGAAGCAGAUAAGCAAGAUGCUGGUGAAUCAUCUUGGCCUGACAUUGACGAAAGAGGAUUUGCAGGAUGUUGUUGACCUAAUGGAACCAUAUGGUCAAAUAAUGAACGGCGGCAUAGAACUACUGAGUCCACCUAUUGACGUAAGUGACCUUAUUGAGUAGCUCCAUACCUUUGCAAGAAAAGUUAUAUAAUAAGGAAAUCUGGUCUAACGCAGUUCGCUUUUGCAUUGUGAUUCCAAAAGCAUUUCCAUUUUUCUCGAUUGGGUAUAAACUGGCAUAUCCAAGAAACUUAUCCAAUUUAAUGUGAUAUCUCUAUUGUCUAUGCCACCAUAUAUCAGAGGUGAAAGCCUUUUAAAUUGGAGUUCAUGUACCAAGUUAAAUUUUGGUGGCCUUAAGAUGAAGUUUGAAGCUGGAGAUACUGAACUACAAGAAUAUUAUAUUAUAAGCUGGAUAUAUAUUCGUUCACAUCUUUUUGUUAGUCUCAUUGUUACUCAUUACAUUCAAGCAUAUCAUCAAGUUCCAUUUUAGAAAACUCGACUGGGAGCCGUGCAUGGGAAUAUCUCAUUAGGUCAAUCAACAAAUUCUCCUUUUGAAAGCAUUGUUUCGGAAAUUGCAAAAUGAUAGCUCAAAGGGGUUGCGAGUGGUUCUGUCUCUUCCUUGAUUGAAUUGUGAGUGGACCAACGACUCCUAGUUUGAGGUUGUUAAAAGAUAUAUCGUUUCUAUGCAAGAAAAUAUGUUUGUAGGAGUCUUCAUGAACCACUUUAGAUUUGCCUCUAUUUAAUUCCAUUAGACUUUAGUCAAGGAUUUUUGUGUACAUCUACUACAUCCAUGGUUAGCACUCUUUUUCGUUUUGC